rnacentral:rRNA from 1 species
AUUGAACGCUGGCGGAAUGCUUUACACAUGCAAGUCGAGCGGCAGCGCGGGGGCAACCCUGGCGGCGAGCGGCGAACGGGUGAGUAACACAUCGGAACGUACCCUGUCGUGGGGGAUAGCCCGGCGAAAGCCGGAUUAAUACCGCAUACGACCUGAGGGUGAAAGCGGGGGAUUCUUGGGCAACCGAGGACCUCGCGCGAUAGGAGCGGCCGAUGGCGGAUUAGCUAGUUGGUGGGGUAAAGGCCUACCAAGGCGACGAUCCGUAGCGGGUCUGAGAGGACGGCCCGCCACACUGGAACUGAGACACGGUCCAGACUCCUACGGGAGGCAGCAGUGGGGAAUUUUGGACAAUGGGGGCAACCCUGAUCCAGCCAUUCCGCGUGAGUGAAGAAGGCCUUCGGGUUGUAAAGCUCUUUCGGCAGGAACGAAACGGUGGAGGCUAAUACCUUUCAUCAAUGACGGUACCUGAAGAAGAAGCACCGGCUAACUACGUGCCAGCAGCCGCGGUAAUACGUAGGGUGCGAGCGUUAAUCGGAAUUACUGGGCGUAAAGCGUGCGCAGGCGGCUCACUAAGACAGAUGUGAAAUCCCCGGGCUUAACCUGGGAACUGCGUUUGUGACUGGUGGGCUGGAGUGUGGCAGAGGGGGGUGGAAUUCCACGUGUAGCAGUGAAAUGCGUAGAGAUGUGGAGGAACACCGAUGGCGAAGGCAGCCCCCUGGGUUGACACUGACGCUCAUGCACGAAAGCGUGGGGAGCAAACAGGAUUAGAUACCCUGGUAGUCCACGCCCUAAACGAUGCCAACUAGGUGUUGGAGAAGGAGACUUCUUUAGUACCGUAGCUAACGCGUGAAGUUGGCCGCCUGGGGAGUACGGUCGCAAGAUUA